GUAGGUGGCAAGCGUUGUCCGGAAUUAUUGGGCGUAAAGCGCGCGCAGGCGGUUCUUUAAGUCUGAUGUGAAAGCCCACGGCUCAACCGUGGAGGGUCAUUGGAAACUGGAGAACUUGAGUACAGAAGAGGAAAGCGGGAUUCCACGUGUAGCGGUGAAAUGCGUAGAGAUGUGGAGGAACACCAGUGGCGAAGGCGGCUUUCUGGUCUGUAACUGACGCUGAGGCGCGAAAGCGUGGGGAGCAAACAGGGAUUAGAUACCCUGGUAGUCCACGCCGUAAACGAUGAGUGCUAAGUGUUAGGGGGUUUCCGCCCCCUUAGUGCUGCAGCUAACGCAUUAAGCACUCCGCCUGGGGAGUACGGCCGCAAGGCUG
rnacentral:rRNA from 1 species